rnacentral:tRNA from 1 species
AGGCCUGUAAUGAAAUGGUAUCAUGAGGGUCUCCAAAACCCUUCUUCCAGGUUCAAAUCCUGGCAGGCCUG